CUCAGCUACUGCAAUUAUGGUAAAAGGGCGAAGUUGGCCUGUUCCUCUGGUUUGAAAGCCGUCGGGUUGUUUCCAACCAAACUAAGCUGAAAUCCACUUAGAGGAAGAUUUGUUCUGAUUCUGUCUGAUGCUGAUUGAUUAUGAAUAAAUUAUUAUGAUUACUUGGAAACACACCGCUAAACAGCCCGUUAGCUAAAUUUAAGCUAGUGCUAAUGCUAACUAGCCUCCAGGCGGGUUCGGAGCUCUGACUGAGGUCAGCGGGUUAGUGGCAGCUGAGCCCGUCCAGAUUCUGUCCGAAUUCCUUUAACGUGACAUAAUGCUGAACUCUGGACUCAAAAGAAGCUUCAUCUGGAUCUCCAAUCCUGCCAAACGACUCAGAGCAGCGGUGAAGUAGCACUUGAAGACCUCGACCACACACCCUGCCCUGUCAGGAAACCUCCAAAAGCCGCUUUUCUUGCGCCUCUUCCACCAUUUUCAGGUUUCCCCCCCCCUAAUCUCCUGAUCAAAUGUGCCAAACGCUCCCCAAAGGAUCCAAACGGAUGAAAAUCAGCGAAGAGAAUGGAGUCAUUAGGAGGCCUUUGGUUUGCAGAGGAGCCGCAUUGUUUGAGCUGCUGAACGUUUGAGAAGAUAAACAGAAUUCCAGCGAGGAGACAUGAGCUUCAAGUGCUGUUAUAAAAGAUUAAUGCAAAGCCGGCCGGCCCUCCUGGCUGGGAGCUGCGGCCGACUGACCAGUGCCAUAUGGACUCCUUUAUGCGCGCACGCUGACCAGGACACACACUGGUGGCUCCAGGACAGCACUCUUUAACCCGUUUAACACGCUGCGACAAAAGAUGUGCACCGUCCUUCCUCCUUCCUUCCUCCUCCUCCUCCCUCUCUGCCCAGCUGAAUACCCACUAAAGAAACUAGACUUUUUAUUUGCAUCUGGAACCACUGGACCCAAAUCAUGGAUUUACCUCCUUCUCAGCUGACCUACUGCAGCAGAAAUGAUAAAACAUCUCCGCCUGGCUACUGAAAUGUUCUGCAUCCUUCAAAAUUUUAAAGUCCACGGUGUUGAUGCACUCUUGAAGAUCUCAUCAAGACCCUCCAAAGACUUUUCACACUCCCAAGUGCUUGAAAAAAACACCAUCAAACUGUUUUUUGGCAGUAAGUAAAAGGUUUUUUGGUGUCUGGAAAAUGAGCAGUUUAAAAACCCUCCGCAAUGUAAUGUCAAGAAUCAGCAGGCACUUCCCCGUUACCUAGCAACCCCAGCAGAGUUCCAUCGUUUCCUGGCAACCCAAACAGAGCUCCAGUAUGUUUGGUCAGCUGGUUGUACUGCUGUAUGUGCUCUACAAUGGCUGCUAGAAAAGACAAGUGUUUUGUUGUUGACUUACCAUCCAGAAACCACUUGCUGCACUCUUGUUGGUUGCGCAGGAGGC